GAUGAACGCUGGCGGCGUGCCUAAUACAUGCAAGUCGAGCGAACAGACGAGGAGCUUGCUCCUCUGACGUUAGCGGCGGACGGGUGAGUAACACGUGGAUAACCUACCUAUAAGACUGGGAUAACUUCGGGAAACCGGAGCUAAUACCGGAUAAUAUAUUGAACCGCAUGGUUCAAUAGUGAAAGACGGUUUUGCUGUCACUUAUAGAUGGAUCCGCGCCGCAUUAGCUAGUUGGUAAGGUAACGGCUUACCAAGGCGACGAUGCGUAGCCGACCUGAGAGGGUGAUAGGCCACACUGGAACUGAGACACGGUCCAGACUCCUACGGGAGGCAGCAGUAGGGAAUCUUCCGCAAUGGGCGAAAGCCUGACGGAGCAACGCCGCGUGAGUGAUGAAGGUCUUCGGAUCGUAAAACUCUGUUAUUGGGGAAGAACAAAUGUGUAAGUAACUAUGCACGUCUUGACGGUACCUAAUCAGAAAGCCACGGCUAACUACGUG
rnacentral:rRNA from 1 species